rnacentral:rRNA from 1 species
UACGAAGGGGACUAGCGUUGUUCGGAAUUACUGGGCGUAAAGCGCACGUAGGCGGAUUUGUAAGUCAGGGGUGAAAUCCCGGGGCUCAACCUCGGAACUGCCUUUGAUACUGCAAAUCUCGAGUCCGAUAGAGGUGGGUGGAAUUCCUAGUGUAGAGGUGAAAUUCGUAGAUAUUAGGAAGAACACCGGUGGCGAAGGCGGCCCACUGGAUCGGUACUGACGCUGAGGUGCGAAAGCGUGGGGAGCA